UUUACCUUGCCACUGUUGGAAGAUGAUUUUUUGUUUUGGUAGGCUUUUUAUUUCGUUUUUUAGAUAAGGGUAUGUUUAAGUUAACUUCUGGGAGUUUAAGCUUGGUCGGCAUGU